rnacentral:tRNA from 1 species
GGCCUAUUAGCUCAGUUGGUUAGAGGGUCAUGCUAAUAACGCGAAGGUUGCAGGUUCGAGACCUGCAUAAGCCA